rnacentral:sRNA from 1 species
UUAGAGGAAGUAAAAGUCGUAACAAGGUUUCCGUAGGUGAACCUGCGGAAGGAUCAUUACAGAGUUCAUGCCCUAACGGGUAGAUCUCCCACCCUUGUGUAUUUAUACAAUGUUGCUUUGGCGAGCCGCGCGGCUUCGGCUGUGCUUCGGGCCUUCGGGUCUGGGUGUGCUCGCCAGAGAAAAACUAAACUCUGAUUAUUUUUGUCGUCUGAGUACUAUAUCAAUAGUUAAAACUUUCAACAACGGAUCUCUUGGUUCUGGCAUCGAUGAAGAACGCAGCGAAAUGCGAUAAGUAAUGUGAAUUGCAGAAUUCAGUGAAUCAUCGAAUCUUUGAACGCACAUUGCGCCCCUUGGUAUUCCGGGGGGCAUGCCUGUUCGAGCGUCAUUUCAACCCUCAAGCUCUGCUUGGUAUUGGACCUUUGCUAGUGAUGGCAGGUUCUAAAAUCAGUGGCGGUGCCGUUGGGUCCUGAGCGUAGUAAUACUUCUCGCUACUGGAUUCCCGCGUGCGUCUUGCCAUAACCCAAAUUUUUCAGGUUGACCUCGGAUCAGGUAGGGAUACCCGCUGAACUUAAGCAUAUCAAUAAGCGGAGGAAAAGAAACCAACAGGGAUUGCCUCAGUAACGGCGAGUGAAGCGGCAAAAGCUCAAAUUUGAAAUCUGGCUCUUUCAGGGUCCGAGUUGUAAUUUGUAGAAGAUGUUUCGGGUGUGGUCCCAGUCUAAGUUCCCUGGAACUGGACAUCACAGAGGGUGAGAAUCCCGUAUGUGACUGGGUACCUACGUCCAUGUGAAACUCUUUCGACGAGUCGAGUUGUUUGGGAAUGCAGCUCAAAAUGGGUGGUAAAUUUCAUCUAAAGCUAAAUAUUGGCCAGAGACCGAUAGCGCACAAGUAGAGUGAUCGAAAGAUGAAAAGCACUUUGGAAAGAGAGUUAAACAGUACGUGAAAUUGUUGAAAGGGA